UGCCCAGUGGUUAUCAUACCACCAUCCA
rnacentral:piRNA from 1 species